AGAGUUUGAUUAUGGCUCAGAACGAACGCUGGCGGCGCGUUUUAAGCAUGCAAGUCGAGCGGCAAGGGUCUUCGGGCCCCUAGAGCGGCGGACGGGUGAGUAACACGUGGACAAUCUGCCCCCCGGCCGGGGAUAGCCCAGGGAAACCUGGAUUAAUACCGGAUGAGACGGGACCCGCGGAGGCGGGAUCCGGGAAAGGCGCUGCGGCGCCGCCGGGGGAUGAGUCUGCGUCCCAUUAGCUUGACGGCGGGGUAACGGCCCACCGUGGCGACGAUGGGUAGCCGGCCUGAGAGGGUGGACGGCCACAUUGGAACUGAGACACGGUCCAGACUCCUACGGGAGGCAGCAGCUAAGAAUCUUCCGCAAUGGGCGAAAGCCUGACGGAGCGACGCCGCGUGAACGAAGAAGGCCGUGAGGUUGUAAAGUUCUUUUCGGGAGGGGGAACAACCGUGGCAGGGAAUGGCCGCGGGAUGACGUGAAUCCCGGAAUAAGCCCCGGCUAACUACGUGCCAGCAGCCGCGGUAACACGUAGGGGGCGAGCGUUGUUCGGAAUCAUUGGGCGUAAAGGGCGUGCAGGCGGUCCUGCAAGUCCGGCGUGAAAGACCCCGGCCCAACCGGGGGGGCGCGCUGGAAACUGCAGGGCUUGAGUACAGGAGGGGAUGCCGGAAUUCCAGGUGUAGGGGUGAAAUCUGUAGAUAUCUGGAGGAACACCAAUGGCGAAGGCAGGCAUCUGGCCAUGUACUGACGCUGAGACGCGAAGGUGCGGGGAGCAAACAGGAUUAGAUACCCUGGUAGUC
rnacentral:rRNA from 1 species